UUUUUGGAAAGGAAAAAUCGUAACAAGGUUU
rnacentral:rRNA from 1 species